AGGGGAGCAUUGUGUACGAGGCGAAGCUGAGCUGGAAGGCGAGGUGGAUUGUACACAAGAGAGAAUGCUGGUAUGAGUAGCGAAAGAAAGGUGAGAAUCCUUUCCAUCGAAAAUCCAAGGUUUCCUGAGGAAGGUUCGUCCGCUCAGGGUAAGUCGGGACCUAAGCCGAGGCCGAAGGGCGUAGGCGAUGGACAACUGGUUGAAAUUCCAGUACCACCUUUAACUGUUUGAGAGAUGGAGUGACACAGGAGGAUAAGCUGACCCGUCGAAUGGAAGAGACGGGCCAAAUGUCGAGUGUGGAUCCUAGGCAAAUCCGGGAUCCGUGAAGCAUGAGGCAUGAAGGGGACCGAAAAUAAAGUAGGGAAGCAGCUGAUUUCACACUGUCGAGAAAAGCUUCUAUUGAGGAAAAAGGUGCCCGUACCGCAAACCGACACAGGUAGAUGAGGAGAGAAUCCUAAGAUGAGCGGGAGAAGUGUUGUUAAGGAACUCGGCAAAAUAACCCCGUAACUUCGGGAGAAGGGGAGCCUAAUCCGGUUAUUGUAAAAUGAUACGGAAAGGUUGCAGAGAAAAGGCCCAAGCGACUGUUUAGCAAAAACACAGGUCUCUGCUAAAUCGAAAGAUGAAGUAUAGGGGCUGACGCCUGCCCGGUGCUGGAAGGUCAAGGGGACUGCUUAGCGCAAGCGAAGGCAUGAACUUAAGCCCCAGUAAACGGCGGCCGUAACUAUAACGGUCCUAAGGUAGCGAAAUUCCUUGUCAGGUAAGUUCUGACCCGCACGAAAGGCGUAACGAUUUGGGCACUGUCUCAACAACACACCCGGUGAAAUUGUAGUACUCGUGAAGAUGCGAGUUACCCGCGACAGGACGGAAAGACCCCGUAGAGCUUUACUGUAGCUUGGCAUUGGAUUUUGGUAUUGUAUGUACAGGAUAGGUGGGAGGCUGAGAAGAUAGGACGCUAGUUUUAUCUGAGCCGCUGUUGGGAUACCACUCUUACCAUACUGAAAUUCUAACCAGUAGCCGUUAACCGGUUAUGGGACAUUGCCAGGUGGGCAGUUUGACUGGGGCGGUCGCCUCCGAAAGAGUAACGGAGGCGCCCAAAGUUUACCUCAGAAUGGUUGGAAAUCAUUCGUAGAGUGCAAAGGCAAAAGGUAGACUGACUGCGAGAGAGACAUCUCGAGCAGGGACGAAAGUCGGGCUUAGUGAUCCGGUGGUACCGAGUGGAAGGGCCAUCGCUCAACGGAUAAAAGCUACCUCGGGGAUAACAGGCUUAUCUCCCCCAAGAGUCCACAUCGACGGGGAGGUUUGGCACCUCGAUGUCGGCUCGUCUCAUCCUGGGGCUGUAGUAGGUCCCAAGGGUUGGGCUGUUCGCCCAUUAAAGAGGCACGCGAGCUGGGUUCAGAACGUCGUGAGACAGUUCGGUCCCUAUCCGUCGUGGGCGCAAGAUAUUUGAGAGGAGCUGUUCCUAGUACGAGAGGACCGGAAUGGACAGACCUCUGGUGCACCAGUUGUCCUGCCAAGGGCAUAGCUGGGUAGCUAAGUCUGGAAGGGAUAAGCGCUGAAGGCAUCUAAGCGCGAAGCCCCCCUCAAGAUGAGAUAUCUCAUUCGAAAGAAGUAAGGUCCCCGGUAGACGACCGGGUUGAUAGGCCAGAGGUGUAAGUGCAGAAAUGCAUUCAGCUGACUGGUACUAAUAGACCGAGGACUUGACCAA
rfam:Alkalibacter saccharofermentans DSM 14828 genome assembly, contig: EJ14DRAFT_scaffold00031.31